rnacentral:ncRNA from 1 species
AAUUCCCCUACUGAUGAAGCGUUGUUGCCACAGUAAUCCUGCUCAGUACGAGAGGAACCGCAGAUUCAGACAUUUGGUUCAUGUGCUUGGCUGAUAAGCCAAUGGUGCGAAGCUACCAUCUGAGGGAUUAUGACUGAACGCCUCUAAGUCAGAAUCCCGCCUGGAAACCGACGAUGCAUUCGUGCCUCGGCCUCGAGAGGCGUAGCUAGACGGCCGCGUGGCCGUGGAAAGAGCCCGAUUCCGACCCGAGAGGCCGCGGCAAGAGGCGGCCUCGAAGUCGGUGGAUCCUCCUGCUCGAAAGGCGGGGUGCUAAACCAUUCGCAGACGACCUAGUUGAAGAUCGGGGUGUCGUGAUCACUAGAGCAGUACAUCUCACUGCGAUUUGUUGAGAGUAAGCCUCAAGAUCUGUCGGUUUGU